rnacentral:rRNA from 1 species
GACGAACGCUGGCGGCGUGCUUAACACAUGCAAGUCGAACGGAAAGGCCCCAGCUUGCUGGGGUACUCGAGUGGCGAACGGGUGAGUAACACGUGGGUGAUCUGCCCUGCACUCUGGGAUAAGCCUGGGAAACUGGGUCUAAUACCGGAUAGGACCGUGCUUUAGUGUGUGCGGUGGAAAGUUUUUCGGUGCAGGAUGAGCCCGCGGCCUAUCAGCUUGUUGGUGGGGUAAUGGCCUACCAAGGCGGCGACGGGUAGCCGGCCUGAGAGGGUGUACGGCCACAUGGGGACUGAGACACGGCCCAGACUCCUACGGGAGGCAGCAGUGGGGAAUAUUGCACAAUGGGCGCAAGCCUGAUGCAGCGACGCCGCGUGGGGGAUGACGGCCUUCGGGUUGUAAACCCCUUUCGGCAGGGACGAAGCUUUUGUGACGGUACCUGCAUAAGAAGCACCGGCUAACUACGUG